AUUGAACGCUGGCGGCAGGCCUAACACAUGCAAGUCGAACGGUAACAGGAAACAGCUUGCUGUUUCGCUGACGAGUGGCGGACGGGUGAGUAAUGUCUGGGAAACUGCCUGAUGGAGGGGGAUAACUACUGGAAACGGUAGCUAAUACCGCAUAACGUCGCAAGACCAAAGAGGGGGACCUUCGGGCCUCUUGCCAUCAGAUGUGCCCAGAUGGGAUUAGCUAGUAGGUGGGGUAACGGCUCACCUAGGCGACGAUCCCUAGCUGGUCUGAGAGGAUGACCAGCCACACUGGAACUGAGACACGGUCCAGACUCCUACGGGAGGCAGCCGUGGGGAAUAUUGCACCAUGGGGCGAAGCCUGAUGCAGCCAUGGCGCGUGUAUUAAGAAGGCCUUCGGGUUGGAAAGUACUUUCAGCGGGGAGGAAGGGAGUAAAGUUAAUACCUUGGCUCAUUGACGUUACCCGCAGAAGAAGCCCCGGCUAACUCCGUG
rnacentral:rRNA from 1 species